CAAUUGGUACAAAAAGAGGGACGAAAGAUACCAAAGGGACAGUCAAACUCAUAAAUCUAAAACAAACUGACAACGCCAUGGCUAAAAAUAAAAAAGACAAACAGAAAAACAAUAGAACACACGACACAACAUAGAAAACUAAAGAAUAAACAACACGAACCCCACCAAAAACUAGGGGUGAUCUCAAGUGCUCCGGAAGGGUAAGCAGAUCCUGCUC
rnacentral:lncRNA from 1 species